rnacentral:lncRNA from 1 species
GCGGAGAUCACAGUUACCACCUUGAGUGCAGUGUGGCCCCCUGGGCCCACCCCAAAGCUGCUGGGAAGUUUGCGGAGAAAUCUGAGUCACAGAAAAAUGAGGCAUCUACUUCAGAUCCUAUACCUUGGCGUUUCACGGAAUAUUUUGGAGUGUUUUAUCCUAGGUAGUAAAUUUGACUUCGCUGUCUGUGAAAAAUAGAUCUGUGCUGUCAACGGUGGACACUGAAUGUCCACCUGGCAAACUUAUCAGUUCAGUUUCUGUGGACAAGAAGAGGAAACAAUUGGAUUUCUCAAUCAUUUUUGGUCCAGUCCGUGGUCCAAAUGGAAGAGACAGACCAGGUGUGGUGGCUAAUGCCUAUAAUCGCAGCACUUUGGGAGGCCAAGGUGGGUGGAUCACCUGAGGUCAGGAGUUCAAGAGCAGUCUGGCCAACAUGGCGAAACCCUCGCUCUACUAAAAAUACAAAAAAAUUAGCCAGGUGUGGUGACAGGUGCCUGUAAUCGCAGCUACUUGAGAAGCUGAGGCAGGAGAAUUGCUUGAGCCCGGGGGCGGAGAUUUCAGUGAGCCGAGAUUGCGCUCCAGCCUGGGUGAAAAAGCAAAACUCCGUCUCAGAAAAAAAACCCAAACAGAAGAGACAUUUCAGUACCACAGGCCAGCAGAAAAAGCUUCUGAAUGAGACUCCUUUUGUAGGUGGAGUAAAGGUGGACAGUAAACCACUCCCAUUUCCAUGCAUCAUUGUUACUCUGACUUAUUUAUUUGUUUGUUUAUUUUUUGAGAUGGAGUCUCGCUCUGUCACCCAGGCUGGAGUGCAGUGGUGCGAUCUCAGCUAACUGCAACCUCCAC